UACGGAGGGGACUAGCGUUGUUCGGAAUUACUGGGCGUAAAGGAUUCGUAGGUGGCCUGCUAAGUCACACGUGAAAUCCCUCAGCUUAACUGGGGAACUGCGUGUGAGACUGGCGGGCUUGAGUGCAGGAGAGGAACGCGGAAUUCCAGGUGUAGCGGUGGAAUGCGUAGAGAUCCGGAAGAACACCGGAGGCGAAGGCGGCUUGCUGGGCUCGGUCUGACGCUGAGGCGCGAAAGCGUGGGGAGCGAACAGG
rnacentral:rRNA from 1 species